UACGGAGGGUGCAAGCGUUGUUCGGAAUUAUUGGGCGUAAAGGGCGUGUAGGCGGUUCGUUAAGUCUGAUGUGAAAGCCCCGGGCUCAACCUGGGAAGUGCAUUGGAAACUGGCGAACUUGAGUACGGGAGAGGGCAGUGGAAUUCCUGGUGUAGGAGUGAAAUCCGUAGAUAUCAGGAGGAACACCGGUGGCGAAGGCGGCUGCCUGGACCGAUACUGACGCUGAGACGCGAAAGCGUGGGGAGCAAACAGG
rnacentral:rRNA from 1 species